GUCCACCAGAAAAUUACGAGCGAAAGCUUAAAACUCAAAAGACUUGACGGUGUCCUAACCUACCUAGAGGAGCCUGUUACAUAAUCGAUAAUCCACGAUAAACCUAACCACCUCUUGAAAUAUCAGCCUAUAUACCGCCGUCGACAGCCCGCCUUCCAAAAGAAAUUAAAGCAGGCCAAAUAGAUUUACCCCUAAAAAGUCAGGUCAAGGUGUAGCUAAUGAGGUGGAGAUAAUGGGCUACAUUAUUUAAAAUAAAUUACACGAAUUAGAACUUUGAAACAAAACCAUGAAGGUGGAUUUAGCAGUAAGUCAAAAAAUAAUACUUG
rnacentral:rRNA from 1 species